UACGAAGGGGGCUAGCGUUGUUCGGAAUUACUGGGCGUAAAGCGCACGUAGGCGGAUAUUUAAGUCAGGGGUGAAAUCCCGGGGCUCAACCCCGGAACUGCCUUUGAUACUGGGUAUCUCGAGUCCGAGAGAGGUGAGUGGAAUUCCGAGUGUAGAGGUGAAAUUCGUAGAUAUUCGCAAGAACACCAGUGGCGAAGGCGGCUCACUGGCCCGAUACUGACGCUGAGGUGCGAAAGCGUGGGGAGCAAACAGG
rnacentral:rRNA from 1 species